AAUGAAGUGCCUGAGGAAAGGAUUAUCUUGAUAGGGUAGGCCACGUGAGUAAUCACCUUCAUUA
rnacentral:tRNA from 1 species